GUUCUGUUGUUUAAGGGCCAGUUUGGCAUUCAAGACACUUGAGCUUGGUGCUUUGUCCCAGCUGUAGAAAUCUUCCAUGCUUUCAGGUUUCCAGUCUUACCCAAAGUGGAAAAAACUCCCAACUGGGAAGCUGAUGUGAACAGCCAUAUAGGCAACAUGAUUGUAAAAGAGAAAAGACCAAUUCAUAGCAGGUCUUGCACAGACUGAGUAAUUGCAAGAAAGAUCACCAUCCACUCUCCUGCCAGACUGUCACUGCACCUUUUUAGACACAAAUCCACUGGCAGCACCCAAGUAUUCAGAGGAGUAUUCCCAAAGCCUCUCCUGAAAACUGAAUCUAACCACAAAACCCAGGAAGAAUAUAAAAAAGGGAAGAAUAUAGAUGAAGAGAGAGAAAUGCGCAGAAGAAGAAUCUAACAAAAAAGUCUGAACACGAAAAUAUUUUGGUGGAGAAGGAUGAAUUAUGAAGAGUGAUACCAUUUUGGAAAUAUGAAGAUUUUGGUAUCAAUCUGAAUUUUUCAGAUAAAAGAAUAGUCAAGACUACGAAGUACUUGGAGAUUCAAAGGUGAUCUCAGGAUAAUGAGCAAUGAAUCUGUGUGCAUGCUGAAUAGAUUAAUUUGUUCAAUAUGUUAGAAACACUACUGUCGUGGUGAUGUAAAAAUGAUGGAAUCAGACCCUGAGACACAGCUCAUCAGGAUUUCUGAUUUCCAUAACGGAGCCUGUUAAAAAUGAAAUCGAGAUGCUUCCACCAUCAAUCUGAGAACACUAUAACAUCACUACUCUACUAAGGCAAGAGGCUUGGUUUCUAUCAGCUUAGAGAGAAGCUGAUGAGACGUUGGCAGGAGCUGCUCCAUUCACCCUGGCAAUAAGAACUAACAUUCUCCACUGCUGUACAGCAUGUUAUCAAGUUGCUAAGGGAUCAGACUUUCUUCCUGAGAGUGUUCAAGCCAGGGAAGAUGUGUGGUGCUUCUGAGGAGAGCUCAUGGGACAGAAGUUCACAGCCCACUAAGGGAGGCAUUUGAACUGGCCCCCAGCUCCUUUUUAGGAGCUCCCAGUCCCUCUGUGUCUGGAGUAAAGAUGGGCUCAUGCUUUUGGGAGAUGUGUUGUAAGCACGGGGAUUCAUCAAGUGAGUUGAGGACAGUCAUCAAUGCACUCAAGCACAUCAGAGGAGAGCUCCCUCCCAUUCAGCUUUACUACAUGACAAAUGGAUAAGGUUUAGAUGAAAUAGCAGGACUGAUCCUACAUCAAAAUAAGGAAUGAACUCUCUUGCUUAAAACUGCUCGGAUGAGUGCAACCAUUGAAUGAUGUUACAAAUGCCUUUGGAUCCAGGCAGAGUGAUAAUGGCUUUGAGCACAGAAAUGGACUUGCAGCUGGAUUCUCAGGAGAUCUGGGUAACAGCUCACAUAUUGAAAUGUGCUCAUCAAAGAGGUAUUAUGGGGACAGUAAAGGGAACCAAGAUUUGCCUGCAAUGUGGAGACGAGAAACAGAAACAGGUAGAAAGAAUCUAAUUUCUCAUGGAAGUUCUGGUGAAAAUCAAACUCCGUCAUUUUCAGCACUAAUGUUAGGCCAGGAUCUGCAACCGUUGCUGAAAGUACCCAUUAUCUUGUUGCCAGUGCAAUUCCAUUUAUUACAGUAUGUGUCAAGGAAACAUGGAAAUUUAUUCUUCCCAGGGUAAGCUGCUGCUUAACAUAAGUGUCAGAAAUGUCUAGCCUUUAUUGAUUAAAAUUCUGAGUUCUUUAUAUGAUAUAACUAUCCUAAGCAGAAAUAGCUAAUGUGCUGAAAGGCAGUAUAUUGUAUUUGCAAAAAGAACAGCAUGGAAAGAUUUAUGCUCCAGUGAUGUCUUGUUUUCUUUACUGUUGCUACAGAGUUGAAAGCCCAUCUGUCCUCCUUAUUAUGUUAAAUUCAUUCAGGAAUCACUUAACUGAAGUAUCCUUAACCUAGUGCUUCUGCAAACUAGUACAUCUACAUAGAGAAUAGUUAUUAAAAUAAACAUUUCAUUAUCAGCAUCCUAAUGCAGUACCAUUGUGAGUAAUCAAUGAGGUCUCUGGAAAUUAUGGGAAUUAUACAAUAUAAUUGAGUUAUUUAUAAUAAAAUUGCUAAAGAGUUGCUGACCUUCCCAGGUAAACCUUUUUCUUUUUUUUUUCAUACAGCCUGCUUGAUCUUGCUCUGAUUUUGAACACAACAUGUUUUUUUCUUUGUCCUUACAUAACUUUAGAAUAGAAAUCUAUUAAACUAAGCUCAGGUUUAUAAAAGAAGAAAAUUAUCAUGGAGUCACAUUACAGAAUCAUGUUGCCUUCCUUAUGCUUUAAAACCAUCACUCCAGGUAAGAAUUUUAUGCUAUUCUGCAAAAUGAAAUAGAAGCUAAAAGAUACAAUAUGAAAAUUUUUUCCGUAUUUCUUCCACCUCAUACUGUCAGCCCAUAGUUUGCCCCUUUUACCUUAGUCUCUUAGUCAGCCACGCAGUGAAGUGGGUUGGAAUACCCUGCACACCCAUUACAGAGAACAUGUAAGAAUCGAGCUAAUGUUGAAGCCUCAGUUCUGAGAAAACAAAUAAGGGGACAAGAAGCUGCCAGCAGGUACAAUAAAGGCAUAGAAAUGCCUUUGCUCUACAGAGCGUGCACCACUCCCCAUUUACCCCUGCCUCCCCACUGAGGGUUGCACACAUAGAAAAGUCUUGAUAGAAAGCUCUGGUGGCUAAUCCUCAUCUGCUUCAGUGCCAAGACUUCCAGCUUAGCUUAAACUGAUGAUGAAGAUGAUGUAAGAUAACCUUGCAGAAUUAACACAAAAAAUGAAUGAAAGAGUACCCGUGUUCUGCAUUUUCAGAAAUGAGGGCAGGUACCUCUAGCAGGUGAGUGCUGAUCAUCAUCUGGAGCUCGUAAAGUUAUUAACCACAUCAAAAUGAGGUGUUUGCCCACUCCCUAAUUGGAAAGGGAAGGGAUAUGCAUGCAGCUGUGAUUUUUGCUCUCAAGACUGUCUGACAACAUAGCACAUGGAUGUACUGGAUAUCUUUGCAUUUAUUACGAAUAUUUUCCUCUCUCCAUAAGAUGCUCCAGCAGACCUGGACAAUGACUUCUAAUGAAAAUCUGCAUCAGGACAAGUCUGUUGUGAGACCAUCAAUAUCAGUGGGUUUGGAUGAGUGUCAAAGGGAUUGGAGUAGAUGCUGCAGUUUUAAUUAAGUACUUUUUUCCGAGGCAAUAGGCUGGUCUCCUUUGUGGUGGAUAUAGGAUUAGUGACGCUUUGAGAGGUUAGCAGCCAGGCAAGUCACAGCAUGAAAAUGAAUGGAAUUCUAUCAGAGAGCCUAUUUCAUGUCAAGAAAAAACUCCAGAGAGUAGCAAUUAAAGCUUACUUAUUUAUUAGGCAAUUGAGUUUGUGGGUGAACUGGCUAAACUGUAGCUGGGGGGCUUUUCUGUUGACUGACAACACUGAACCAAGAAGCCUACCUCAGAAGUUGGGUAGGAAAAGGUUGUUCUGCACAGGCUCAGUAGUCCUUCCAAAGAAAAGACUUAGGGACACCAUGUGUCUGUUGGGAUGAGGGUGGGAGAGGUAAAACACAAACAUGACUGGUAUAAAAUAAGUUAGACCUAGAUCCCCUAGGCUUGGAGGGUCUUCACCUUGACCUUUGAGACAGACAAGGACAAAUCACAUGAAGACCUGCAAGAGGUGUUGCUUUGCAUCUUUUGCCAUGCACAGGAGUGAUGAUGGAGGAGGGGACUUGCCAGCUCUUGUUACUCAUUUGAGAAGCUGUACUGCUGCGUUUCAUUUUGCUUCACUACACAAAAAAGGCAGAAGGAGGGAGGCAGGAGAGAAGCAUCCACAUCAAAAAUAGCAGAAGGAAAUAUGGGAGGAGGGAGGAGAGGUGGGAUGGUAUUGUCUGGUUUAUGGCCCUUCUGUGCCAUCUGAAUGGUACAAAAGGAUAAAAACCAGGUUGAGCAUCUGUGUUACUGUCUGCACCACUAUGAUAAUGAAAAUCCACAAAUGCUUAGAGGAAUAAACAACAUUUCAAGUUUCCUGAGGUUAUUUAAAAGAAAUAUUUAUUCUAUCUGAGAAGGAGUAUGCAGGGAAGUAUUGCAUUUAAAAAAACCCUGCAAAAUGUGUUCACAAUGUGAGGGAGCAGAGCAGCACAGUGAGUAACCUUAACUAGUCUGUUUCCAAACUUUUGACUGCCUAACCAUGCAGCCUUAAUGCUCUGUUACCAUAUUCGUCAUGCACACAGUAUUAUACUGAUACAUAUAAUACUGACUGUCUGGUUAGAUAUAGAUAUCUUAUUUUUAUUGGAAUUUUAUCCUCAGUCUCCUCUCUACUUCUCUUUUCACAGUCCUCCUUAAGCAGAAUGUGAAACUAGUACUCUAAAAUUUCAGCUGCACUUUUGAACCUGUGAUAUUUGAACGCGAUUUUUUCUCAUCACAACCUGAAACUGAUAUGUUGUUACAAGAAAAUGUUGCACUUCUCAAAACUCUCCACUUCUAUAAGAUGCAGUACAUAUCCUUUCAAAGAUGUGGGGUGCAUGUGAAAAAAGGUAUCAGGAUUACUUGGCUCAUUGGAAAUUAUCACUGCAGUUCUUUUCUCUACCGCCUUUUUUCUUUACACAAAUGCCAAAAUUUUCCUCUUAAAAAUGUUUAAAAUUCAUAUUCUGUCAUGUAGAUCCGGGAGUUUAUUUUGAAACGUGAGCUUGCCUGUGAAAACUAUAAUAUGCAUUUUGGUAUUAAUACUACAUAAAAAAUACAUUAACAUGAAGUAAAUCCAAGCUUAGGUGCAUAAUUAAAUCUAAGACAGCAAUUAUUAAAGCACUUGAAUGAUACCCAAGACCAAAUUCUGCCUGGCAAUGAAAGCCAAUGACACUGGGCUCCUGCAACUCUUAGAUUAUCAAAGGAUCUUGGCAUCUGAGUGGUCUCACAGAUCUAGGUACCUAAAACCAUCUGAGGAUGGACAAUAUCUCUCUGUUUUUUUGCAAAGGCAUCUGAUCUGGGAAGCAAGGAGGAGGGACAGAGGACAGAGCACGGUCCUGUAGCCAGGGAUGCUGUGAAGAGAGGCAGCAGAGAGGAAGGCUGCUCCUGGUGACUGUACUGUGGUUUGAAGGGGAACACACUAAAAAAAGGGACGAAGGAAAACAACACCUUCCAUAAGAGCAUCCAAGCAAGCCAGACCACCAGGACAGGGCAGGACAAGUGGUGGGAGAAGAAUAAAGCAAGGAAAUCCUGAAGGAAUGGGGACUGGAGGACUUCUGAAGGGAGCAAGAGGCUACCUGCAGUGGAGGACAGAUCUACACCAAGCCUAAGAAAUGACAGUGGCCUUCUUAAGGACUCCAAAGAGAAGUCAGGGGAGAGGACACUUUCUCUCAACCACAGGAAUACUGAAAGUUGCUAAAUUUGAAAGAAAGCCUAGAGAAAAGGACCCAUCCUUCUCAAGAGGGACAUCGGUUUUACAGAUUUUCACGUUUUAUUUCUCACUUUAUAAGGUCUGAAUUUUCCCUGCUUAGAUGGUUAUCUUGUUUUACUGUGUGUGAAAUUUAGGAAACAUUCCCCACCUGCUAAUAAAUCUUAAUUUUAAAGGGUAGAAAACCAUUAACUUUCAGUAGACAGGAAGGAUUUACUUUCUGUUACAUUGCCUUUCUGGUGCAAGGCUGGUGAGUAGGUCCUACAGCACAUGUUGUAGCUGUCAGUACUGAGAAACCCUACAAAAGUCAAGGACAGCUAAGGAGUAAUGUUGAAACACUGUAGGAGAGCUGUACUGGAACAGAGAGGUAGCUCUUCCUUCUUCCCUCUCUCAUAGCAGCACCAAAAUCUGGGAGCAUGUAUCUUGAGCAUUUGUGAUCCCUUUCAGCUAAGUAACACUAACUAGCCUCUCAGAUCUUCCAAAGGCAAAAUCUAACUGGCCUUGCACAUGAACAUGCAGUAGAAAAGUGCUGAUGAGGAGGUAAGGAAUUGGCUGCUAGAAGUCAAAGAAUGACUGCCCUGAAAGCUGCCUGUGACUUACUUGAGGGUCUACGGUCAAAAGAUUCAUGUUGAUGUGCAUCCAUAUUAUGGCCUACGUGAUGGCUUUUUAUAUGCUCCAGACUAAAGAAUAAACCUGUCCAUUGCCCAACACUGCCUGUGCAGCAGCCUGUGCUCCAAACCAGCCACAGUCAGGAUAUUGAACAUGCUUUUUUCCACAGUGCAGUAGGGUAUAUGUGGGAUACGUGCAGCAUAUUAGAUUGGUUUCCAGCCACCUACCAGUAUUUCAUGGCAGGAAAUUUGCAUGGCUCUUGUUGUAGCCAAGUGACAGGUAAUAAGAGAAAGGUGCCAUUGUUAGAACUAUCAGUAUUAGAUUUUCUAAUACAACCCUGUUGUAAUGAGAUCAUUCACAUUGCUCUAACUGCAAUCAGAACUUCUACUGAAAGAAUGAGCCUGAAUAAUAAUAAAAGCAGAAAGCAUUUUAAGUAAAUAGAAUUUCCCAGAUACUGCAUAAUGUUGUUUGUUAUUGCUAUCUUUUAUGAGUCUUGAGAAAUAUAUUGUAUAAGAAUGAUUUCCUUCAAUAUAAGCUGUUAUCAUGGAGGUCUCCUAUGUCAAUUCUUAUUUAAAAUAUAUUUCCUUACAGUCUUGAUAUUAUGAAAGCAUAAAUUAAUGUGACCUCUUUGCUUCCAUUCCAUGUUCUUAUAAAGCCCCACCGUAGCUCUCCGAAGAACAGUUACGUGCUGCUUUGUACGAAUGUAGCCUAAACCACUCCAAAUAAUACGAUCCAUUUUGGCAGUAAAAAUUCAUUUUAUGUACAGCUUUUGAAGCCCCUGAAAAGCCAAGGUCUUUCAGUGAACAUUGCACAGAACAUUUUUUUCUUAGCUUGAGAGUGAAGAAGCAUGUAGAUGAUCUCCCUCUCUGCUCUCCUAAUGGAAAACCUCCAUGAGCCUAAACAAGUGCUGCUUCUUUUGAAGAGCUUGUGGGAGCACAAACAGGGAGCCUGACAGCACUAGCAUCUAGUGCAACAAAAACGCCCUGGCAAAUGUAGAAGGGAGGGCAGACUAUUUCCAUGAGCUAUAGUAGAACAUGAUUUCCCUCCUGCCUAAAGCUUGCCAUUGGCAAAAAGAGAAAGCCAAAACAAACUCCUACAGUGAA